GAUGAACGCUGGCGGCGUGCCUAAUACAUGCAAGUCGAGCGAACGGACGAGAAGCUUGCUUCUCUGAUGUUAGCGGCGGACGGGUGAGUAACACGUGGAUAACCUACCUAUAAGACUGGGAUAACUUCGGGAAACCGGGGCUAAUACCGGAUGAUAUUUUGAACCGCAUGGUUCAAAAGUGAAAGACGGUCUUGCUGUCACUUAUAGAUGGAUCCGCGCUGCAUUAGCUAGUUGGUAAGGUAACGGCUUACCAAGGCAACGAUGCAUAGCCGACCUGAGAGGGUGAUCGGCCACACUGGAACUGAGACACGGUCCAGACUCCUACGGGAGGCAGCAGUAGGGAAUCUUCCGCAAUGGGCGAAAGCCUGACGGAGCAACGCCGCGUGAGUGAUGAAGGUCUUCGGAUCGUAAAACUCUGUUAUUAGGGAAGAGCAUAUGUGUAAGUAACUGUGCACAUCUUGACGGUACCUAAUCAGAAAGCCACGGCUAACUACGUG
rnacentral:rRNA from 1 species